rnacentral:rRNA from 1 species
AGCAGCCGCGGUAAUUCCAGCUCCAAUAGCGUAUAUUAAAGUUGUUGCAGUUAAAAAGCUCGUAGUUGAAUUUCGGGAUCAAGUCGUCGGUCGUGCUCAGGUACGUACUGGCGUCAUUGAUUUCUCCCUUCUGACGAACCAUGAUGUCAUUAAUUUGGUGUUAUGGGAAAUCAGGACUGUUACUUUGAAAAAAUUAGAGUGUUUAAAGCAGGCUCACGCUUGAAUACAUUAGCAUGGAAUAAUGAAAUAGGACGUUCGAUCCUAUUUUGUUGGUUUUAGGAUCAACGUAAUGAUUAAUAGGGAUAGUUGGGGGCAUUAGUAUUCAAUUGUCAGAGGUGAAAUUCUUGGAUUUAUUGAAGACUAACUACUGCGAAAGCAUUUGCCAAGGAUGUUUUCAUUAAUCAAGAACGAAAGUUAGGGGAUCGAAGACGAUCAGAUACCGUCGUAGUCUUAACC